AUGUCGAGGCCGGACAGAUGGGAGCUUGSUMMMUGAURYURGCGGCKGACGGGUGAGUAACACGUGGGUAACCUGCCUGURAGACUGGGAUAACUCCGGGAAACCGGGGCUAAUACCGGAUGCUUGUUUGAACCGCAUGGUUCAAACAUAAAAGGUGGCUUCGGCUACCACUUACAGAUGGACCCGCGGCGCAUUAGCUAGUUGGUGAGGUAACGGCUCACCAAGGCAACGAUGCGUAGCCGACCUGAGAGGGUGAUCGGCCACACUGGGACUGAGACACGGCCCAGACUCCUACGGGAGGCAGCAGUAGGGAAUCUUCCGCAAUGGACGAAAGUCUGACGGAGCAACGCCGCGUGAGUGAUGAAGGUUUUCGGAUCGUAAAGCUCUGUUGUUAGGGAAGAACAAGUACCGUUCGAAUAGGGCGGURCCUUGACGGUACCUAACCAGAAAGCCACGGCUAACUACGUGCCAGCAGCCGCGGUAAUACGUAGGUGGCAAGCGUUGUCCGGAAUUAUUGGGCGUAAAGGGCUCGCAGGCGGUUUCUUAAGUCUSAAAUCAGUGAAAGCMMYCKRCUCAAYAUCKRKRWGGGUCUUGGGAAACUGGA
rnacentral:rRNA from 1 species